rnacentral:rRNA from 1 species
UACGAAGGGGGCUAGCGUUGCUCGGAAUCACUGGGCGUAAAGGGUGCGUAGGCGGGUCUUUAAGUCAGGGGUGAAAUCCUGGAGCUCAACUCCAGAACUGCCUUUGAUACUGAGGAUCUUGAGUACGGGAGAGGUGAGUGGAACUGCGAGUGUAGAGGUGAAAUUCGUAGAUAUUCGCAAGAACACCAGUGGCGAAGGCGGCUCACUGGCCCGAUACUGACGCUGAGGCACGAAAGCGUGGGGAGCAAACAGG